rnacentral:rRNA from 1 species
AGAGUGAACGCUGGCGGUAGGCCUAACACAUGCAAGUCGAACGGCAGCACAGGAGAGCUUGCUCUCUGGGUGGCGAGUGGCGGACGGGUGAGGAAUACAUCGGAAUCUACCUUUUCGUGGGGGAUAACGUAGGGAAACUUACGCUAAUACCGCAUAAGACCUUCGGGUGAAAGCCGGGGACCUUCGGGCCUGGCGCGGAUAGAUGAGCCGAUGUCGGAUUAGCUUGUUGGCGGGGUAAAAGCCCACCAAGGCGACGAUCCGUAGCUGGUCUGAGAGGAUGAUCAGCCACACUGGAACUGAGACACGGUCCAGACUCCUACGGGAGCAGCAGUGGGAAUAUUGGACAAUGGGCGCAAGCCUGAUCCAGCCAUACCGCGUGGGUGAAGAAGGCCUCGGUGUAAGCCUUUGUGGAAAGAAUACUGCGAUAAUACUCAGUAGGAUAGACGUACCCGAAAGAAUAAAGACACCGGCUAACUUACGU